rnacentral:rRNA from 1 species
UACAGAGGUCUCAAGCGUUGUUCGGAUUCAUUGGGCGUAAAGGGUGCGUAGGUGGCGCCGUAAGUCGGGUGUGAAAUUUCGGAGCUUAACUCCGAAACUGCAUUCGAUACUGCGGUGCUUGAGGACUGGAGAGGAGACUGGAAUUCAUGGUGUAGCAGUGAAAUGCGCAGAUAUCAGGAAGAACACCAAUGGCGAAGGCAGCUCUCUGGGACGGUACUGACACUGAGACGCGAAAGCGUGGGGAGCGAACAGG